CUUUUCCCAAAUCGACUUCACUAACAGAUCCGCUCUCAACUAGAAAGGAGCACACAUUUUAUCAUUCCCACAGGCUUUUGUUACCAAAUCCAUCCCAGAUCAAAACUCGCCUCUGCUUUUACAUAACACAUCUUGCUUGUGUAAUAGAAUUUUGUGCGAAAAUGGAUCUUUUGGUUCCAGUUCAGAUACGUUAUUGAAAGUGGAAUCAUAAAUCGAUCAUAAAUUUCAAAAGUUUCUUCCAAAAAAAUCGUCCCAGAGCUUGUCCCCGUGAAGACGAAGACAUGCCUGUAGUGGUGAUUUCUCUCUCAUCGAAACGUUCGUUCAAACGGGAGCGUGACCGUGUUUUGGGACAAAGUCUGCGCAGGGGUCGCAGCGAACGUGACACUUUGCUCACGGAUAAGAAAAAGAGGAAGCAAGACCAAGCUAACCAGAACCAUAUUGCUUCUGCUUGUGGUGCUACUGCUACCAAUUCCGGUGCGAUUGUUAAAGUGAUGGUCAAAAAGUAGUUCCCACAGAAAAGGAUAUAAAGUUUAAAACCAGAUAAUUACACCGACCUAUGAACAAUAAGUGGUCACCUCUUGUAUUUCUGUGUAUAUGUAGACAAUGUAUAGUGAAAAGGGAAAUCUAAAAAUCUAAAAAGUUCUAAGCAAAAAUUUAAUAAAGAAAAAAAAUUAAAAAUCUAAAGAGUUCUGUGCGUUGAAAAGGACUGAAGGGGUAUUUUAAUGAGAACGACAAUUUUUAAACACUCGUAACCUCCAUAGAUAAAAAGGAUGCUUAUCAUCAACACCAAUGAUCAUCAUCCUUGUUAGUUAAGAACUUUUGUUGUGAAUUGACUGCCGGAAGACGAGAAAGAAAGGGAAUUUAGAUUUGGAAGAAACAAACUUCCGGCACUAUUUACUCCAUAUCGCUCGGUUUCUUAUGUUCCGUUGGAUAAGCAUCGUAAAAUCCAUUUUCAAUGCGGCCACCAUUCACCAUUCCGACUUGAGCCCAAAAAUUUCACCAUAUCAAGUCCUCCAAGCGACAAUGGAAUAUACAACUAUCCUUCUAGAUGAUACGCCAUCGUGAUUGAGAAAUUAAAUCCUUAUACCGAUCUGCAUGUUUCUUCCUCACUCAACCAACCGACUAGAAAAGUAUUGAGAUUGAUUAUUUAGUUCCUGUUAAUAAUGAGUGAUGUACACACGAUGAAAACUGUGAUUACUUCUACCUCCGCGGUGAUAGUGACAAAGGAAGAAGACGGGAAAUCGAGUAGUGAACUAGCUCUGGUAGUAGAACCGACAUCAUCACGCAACAAAGGGGAAGACUUGUCCGUAGCACCUCAAACUAAUGGGAUUACUACUACGAAUGAUGAUGCUGUUGCGUCCGUCGAUACCAAACAACUCGUUACCGAUAACAACACUGCAGCCACAAAACAAGAAGGAUGCGAGCAGUCUUCGUCCCACACGAGAACGGGUAGCACCAUCAUCCCUCCUCUCUCCACUGAUAUCGAUUCUUCUUCAUCCACUGUAAUCAUCAAAAGUGAAGUUGAAGUUGAACAAGUCAGUUGUAGUGGACCAGUACCAAAUUUUCGUGUCGAAGGUUCCGAUGCUGGCGACAGUUCUGUGACCGUGGUCACCUCGCUAAGUCUGAGCUCCUCCGCGCUUCAAGACUGUUGCGGUGGUGGUGGCAGUGAGAGCGAGCCCAGCUCUGAAGACAUGAAACUCUCGCUCGUCAGUUGGUACUCAGAACCGGAUGAUGCGGCUCGACUCGCUUUGACCUCAUCGACAAGUAGUGCCUGCUGCCCACGACAGACCAUGUCGCUCACGGGCAGUUUGUUGAGCAAGAGUGGUUCAGAGGAGAAGGAAAAUCAGACGCCUGAACCUAGACGACGAGAAGCUGAAGAAAAUGACGAAUCGACCUCAUCCUCAUGCAAUUUGCUACCAUUAAUCCUGGACACCGAGGUCCUUGGCGGAAGUCGGGAAAGCGUGCUAACUUUGAGAGGGGAGGAAGACAAAGCUCCUAACAACCGUAAAAAUCAGACCGAGUCAAACAAACACGUGCAACUACUACUUGACGGGAAAAAUAGUGCGAAUGAUAAAACGGUCCCUCACCAUGGCCCUAAAAAACAUACCGCAUUUAAUCAGUCCACCUCCAUUUCCAAUGCUGCUACUCCCGAGUGUGGCAAAUGCGCCCGAAAAUCAAAGUCAGGAAACAACACCCCACAUGGAAACCAUCAGAGCCGAAUUCGAACCCCAGCCUCUCGCAGAUUAAUGCCCUCCACAAAGAGCAGCACAGAACUGAAGAAACCUAUCAAAUCCAUUCUCAAAAGCGACUCUCGUAGCGGGAGUGGAUCAGAUAACAAAUCCUCGAUGGAUAGCUUGCCCAGCGCAGAUCGAACAUGUACCAACGCGACGACACCUCUUCGUCCACGUGGCGCAGAAUUACUGUCUCGAUCUGAAUCUACUACCAGAGCUAAGUUCAACCUUAACCACGAAUUCUUCAAUGCUGACGGUUCCCCCUCCAACCAGGAAGCGUAUAACAAUUCAACUUCUGAGGAACGGCUUGCCUUGAAAUUGCGUAGAAUUGAGAAAUAUGCAACCCUUCGUCUCCGUAAGACACGCGUCAGACCACUAGAGUUGGGCAGUGAUUCGGACAUUAUUAACACGACCGGUGGGAAAAGUAAAGCUGGCACACCCACCACCACCACUGGAAUCGAUCUCAUGACAAAGAGCAUGUCCUUCCUGGAAAAGGGUGGGCCUAACAACGGGGACGCAACCAGCCUCCCCUGGAAUGGAAUGCAGCAUGGACAAAAGUCUAACUCCUUGAAGAGGCAGGGGUCUCUGCGGAUCAAAAAUAGAAGUAGUCCUCCUUGGGAGCCAUGCACCACGAGAACGACUGCACUCCGAAUGCAGAAGAUGCAGGAAUCCAAGGCGAAAGGUGGAGGAACCAGUGGCGGAGUCACAACCUACUCGUCCGUUGGGAGUGGCAGUGCUCACACGGGUAGUACUCACUCGGGAAGUGGGGACUCGAUUCAUCAUCUCGUCCCACAGAGUCGCAGCGCCCCAUCAAGCAAGACACUGUCGGCUUGUAAUUUAACUUCUGGAAAAGGGGGUGACAAGUUUAAGGUCUUCGCCAAACUCUCUUCUGCCGGAGGUCAGACGGCAAGUAGCAAUCAGAAGAGGUUGAAACAGGAAAAGAGCGUUCAGACUGAUGUUCACCCCACCACCACUGAUCAGCUUUUAAACGGGAACAAUCCCACCAGCAUGAGUCCAAUUCCAUCCGUUGAUGCAGCUUCCGACCUACUCGACCAAAUAAAACAACUAGAAAAACUUGCCAAUCGAUAUCGCAACACGGCCCUUAAAUUCCAGUCUAAAUAUGAAAGUUCGGAAGCAAUAAAAUCCGAGUUAGCCAAACAGUUACAAGAAACGCAGCAAGAAUCGAGCGAAAUGGUAGAAUUUUUACAAGCGGAAAAAUCAACCUUGGCCGAAUCACUUACUGAAAUCGAAACCGAGGCCACAACUUGGCGAGAGGAAAUCCAAGGCAUACGGAAAGAGUCUGACAGUCGAAUCUCCACUCUGGUUCGUCUUAGCGAGCAACACAAACAAGAAGCCCUCAGGUCGCAACUACUCCUCCAACGUCUCGAGUCACAAUCCAAUUCUGUCUUGGCUUCGAUAUCAAAUCAAAUUUCGGAAGGAACGACCUCCAUCGUGUUGACGAGACAGAAAGUCAACUCUCUUACAGAGUGUUUGAUAGAGGCGUACAAGAUCCCACAGGAGCUGCUCACCUCAUUCGCUAAUGCUGACCCCCAAACCACGAAGGACACGGUAGUUUCCACUGUUAACAGUGGUAACAAUACUCAACCCAAUAGUUCCCUCCUUCUCCCCCUCAUUACCUCGCUGGCCGAAGCAUUUCCUACUUCCGCCGCAACCCUUGCCAAACUCGCCAACAAGUCGGAAUCUGGCCCAAUCAAGUUUCCAACCUUUAAGACUCCCCAGUUGUUGACAACUAAUUCGUAUAAUGCGAAAAUAGAGGGAUCUACUAACUCUGCCCCUCCCAGUAGUGACGAAACUGACUCGCUGCGAAACCUAAACCAGGCCAUUAUGGAUCGAGAGGCUGCUGAAACUAUCGGACUUGAUCAAAUUACGCUUCCUCAACUCGUUAGUUCAUUCCCGGAAGAAGAUGACGCUUAUUUGACUCGUGAAAUCGUGGAGCUAAAUUCUUCCUUGGGCCGACUCCUCUUGGUUGUUCGCGUCAUCGUUGUGCAAUGUGACAAACAGGUUUCGAACGUGGCGUCGAGUAUUCUGCAGUGUUUACAACAGGAGGGUUCACAAAUAAAAUCCCCUGGGGAUUCAUCCACUCCCCACAACAGAGAAGACACUAUUACCACUUUGACGACCGGAGAGAAAGUCGACGCCAGUCAUCGGCCAUUGAAGAAUGGGCACACUAUAACCUAACCACUGUUAAUUUAACUGUAUAAUUACUGAAGCUGGGCUCGGAUCUGCGAUGUCUAAAAAUCCGAGCCCAGCUUCAGUAUAUCAAGUCUAAAGCAUUCUAUUUCUGUUGUCUGACUCCCGUGUUACACACGUUCCAAUACAACGUUCAUUCCACAAGUAUUCAUUCUUGUACUUGUUUAAAUCUUGUAAAGUUUGUUGUAAAUUGGCAUAAAUCAAACUUUUUUGAAAGUUUAAGUUGUAAUGUUUUAAUAAAUCUGUAAAUAUUUCUUAUUUCUCAUUUAAAUUCACUGUUUUACCUCAAUUUCAAAUUCCUCGCUGUUCUAAGUUUCAAGUUGACCAUGAUACAAGAAGAAAAGAGAAAUUAAAAGCUGCCUGGACAAAUUAUAAUCAAAUAUAUUAUGAAAUACCUUCUUAUUUAAAUCAAUUAUCCAAAUUUCACAAAAGCAAUAAAAUAUUAAAGAUAAAAAUGUGCAAAAAAA